UACAGAGGUGGCAAGCGUUGUUCGGAAUCACUGGGCAUAAAGGGCGCGUAGGCGGCGAGGCAAGUCGGGUGUGAAAUCCCUCAGCUCAACUGAGGAACUGCGCCCGAAACUACCUUGCUAGAGUGCAGGAGAGGAGAGUGGAACUCCUAGUGGAGCGGUGAAAUGCGCAGAUAUCAGGAGGAACACCGGUGGCGAAGGCGGGUCUCUGGCCGAUACUGACGCUGAGGAGCGAAGCUAGGGAGCAAACGGG
rnacentral:rRNA from 1 species